CCUUAACCUGCUAAAUAGACCCUCCGGCUUUGGCUGGAGGCUGUCUUCUUAGAGGGACUGUCAGCGUUUAGCUGACGGAAGUUUGAGGCAAUAACAGGUCUGUGAUGCCCUUAGAUGUUCUGGGCCGCACGCGCGCUACACUGACAGAGCCAGCGAGUCUUUACCUUGGCCGGAAGGCCCGGGAAAUCUUGUGAAACUCUGUCGUGAUGGGGAUAGAGCAUUGCAAUUAUUGCUCUUCAACGAGGAAUACCUAGUAAGCGUAGUUCAUCAGACUGCGUUGAUUACGUCCCUGCCCUUUGUACACACCGCCCGUCGCUACUACCGAUUGAAUGGCUUAGUGAGGCCUCCGGAUUGGCUAUUGGAACCCCGCGAGGGGAUCCGACUGCUGAGAAGUUGUACGAACUUGGUCAUUUAGAGGAAGUAAAAGUCG
rnacentral:rRNA from 1 species